rnacentral:tRNA from 1 species
GGGGAUUUAGCUCAGUGGUAGAGUGCUUGCCUAGCAAGCGCGAGGCCCUGGGUUCGGUCCCCAGCUCCG